UCAUUCGAUUUGUUGUGGAUUGGAUGAUGGAAAAACCAGCAAGCAAAAAGCAUAGUUAGAAAAGUUGUCGUAGCGCGCCCUACGGAGUUGUACAAAGUCAGCAACCGUUUUGGGGCGCAAGCAUAGGCAACACAGGACUGAUGACGGGGUGGGGCGCGCAGUGAACUGGUUUUCUAAAAAGAUUGGAAGAUCCGGCCAAAGAAGGUGAUAGCCCUGUUCAUUUGUUCCCAU
rnacentral:rRNA from 1 species